rnacentral:rRNA from 1 species
GACGAACGCUGGCGGCGUGCUUAACACAUGCAAGUCGAACGAAAAGAGGGAAAGAGCUUGCUCUUUCCGGAAUUGAGUGGCAAACGGGUGAGUAACACGUAAACAACCUGCCUUCAGGAUGGGGACAACAGACGGAAACGACUGCUAAUACCGAAUAAGUUCCAAGAGCCGCAUGGCCCAUGGAAGAAAAGGUGGCCUCUACCUGUAAGCUAUCGCCUGAAGAGGGGUUUGCGUCUGAUUAGCUGGUUGGAGGGGUAACGGCCCACCAAGGCGACGAUCAGUAGCCGGUCUGAGAGGAUGAACGGCCACACUGGAACUGAGACACGGUCCAGACUCCUACGGGAGGCAGCAGUGGGGAAUCUUCCGCAAUGGGCGAAAGCCUGACGGAGCAACGCCGCGUGAGUGAUGACGGCCUUCGGGUUGUAAAACUCUGUGAUCCGGGACGAAAAGGCAGAGUGCGAAGAACAAACUGCAUUGACGGUACCGGAAAAGCAAGCCACG